UCGGGAAUUUUGGGCAAUGGGCGAAAGCCUGACCCAGCAACGCCGCGUGAAGGAUGAAGUAUUUCGGUAUGUAAACUUCGAAAGAAUAGGAAGAAUAAAUGACGGUACUAUUUAUAAGGUCCGGCUAACUACGUGCCAGCAGCCGCGGUAAUACGUAGGGACCAAGCGUUGUUCGGAUUUACUGGGCGUAAAGGGCGCGUAGGCGGCAUGACAAGUCACUUGUGAAAUCUCUGGGCUUAACCCAGAACGGCCAAGUGAUACUGUCGCGCUAGAGUGCAGAAGGGGCAAUCGGAAUUCUUGGUGUAGCGGUGAAAUGCGUAGAUAUCAAGAGGAACACCUGAGGUGAAGACGGGUUGCUGGGCUGACACUGACGCUGAGGCGCGAAAGCCAGGGGAGCAAACGGGAUUAGAUACCCGAGUAGUCCCUGAGCGGGCUGGCAAGGCGCAU
rnacentral:rRNA from 1 species